GAUUUGGAAAACGCAGCCCCAUUUCACAGGAAGACUGAGGAGCAGCCGGAGCUUCUGCCACGACCCCCUCCUGGAACCUGUGUGAGCUCCUGAGCGUCACCAGAAGCCAGGCUGUGCUGCUUCCUAUCGGGUGCCUCCUGUGCCGGCUUGAUGACCGUGGUGCGAGGCAUGUCAUGGGGACAGAAGACAAGCCACGCUUGGUCGUCAGGAGGUGGCUGUACGAUUACCUUCAUUUGACAGAGGAGGACGAGCAAAGUGCCCAAGUCCCACGGCAUAGGACCUGGAUAAAUUGCUGAGGCUGGCCUCAAACUCUCCAUCCUCCUGCCUCAGCCUCCUGAGUCACUGGGAUUACAGGCGUCACUGCACCUGGCUAGUUUGUGGCUACUCUUUCCUGGACUUAAGGAAGGGGUUGGGCUGCUUGGGAGGAUUCAGUGGAAGAGUCCAGAGAUGACUCAAGGGACAGGAGACUGGGUCCUGGGGACAUCUGAGACUCUGCACCCUGAGGAUAUGGAAUCUGCUUGACCUAGAAACGAUUCCUUUAUGUUGCCUAGUCUGACCUUGGACUCUUGGGCACAAGCCAUCCUCCCGCCUCAACCUCUGGAGCAUCUGGGACUGCAGGCAUGUGCCACCACGCUGCACCUGUGCCAUCUGAUAUAGGGGAUUUGAGCGUGGUGGAUGUGGUGACCGAGGGGGCGCAGAGACCAGCCUGCGCGGUGGUGAGAUCAGGGGUGUGACGUGCCCACAGCGGGGCCUGCCACGGAGUAAACGCUUCAUGUGUCACUCGUUCAUCUACUUGACGGCUAUUUAAUGAGCACCUACUGCGUGCCGGCCCUAUGCUGGGCUCUGGGGAGACCCCGGCGAAGUCACGGCAGAAACAGAUCCUGCUCUGGGCCCAGGAGGGAAAAGCAGACUCCGUCCCUCACCCGGUGCCAGCGAGGGGGGGGGUCUGCCCCUGCCCAUUGUUUCUGGGGCGCCUGGCUGGCGUCCCUGGGCCUCCCGGGUGUCAUUCCCGUAUCUCGA